rnacentral:rRNA from 1 species
CUGGCGGCGUGCCUAAUACAUGCAAGUCGAACGCACUCUCGUUUAGAUUGAAGGAGCUUGCUCCUGAUUGAUAAACAUUUGAGUGAGUGGCGGACGGGUGAGUAACACGUGGGUAACCUGCCCUAAAGCGGGGGAUAACAUUUGGAAACAGAUGCUAAUACCGCAUAAAACCUAACACCGCAUGGUGUAGGGUUGAAAGAUGGUUUCGGCUAUCACUUUAGGAUGGACCCGCGGUGCAUUAGUUAGUUGGUGAGGUAAAGGCUCACCAAGACCGUGAUGCAUAGCCGACCUGAGAGGGUAAUCGGCCACACUGGGACUGAGACACGGCCCAGACUCCUACGGGAGGCAGCAGUAGGGAAUCUUCCACAAUGGACGAAAGUCUGAUGGAGCAACGCCGCGUGAGUGAAGAAGGUUUUCGGAUCGUAAAACUCUGUUGUUGGAGAAGAAUGUAUCUGAUAGUAACUGAUCAGGUAGUGACGGUAUCCAACCAGAAAGCCACGGCUAACUACGUG